rnacentral:rRNA from 1 species
AACGAACGCUGGCGGCAGGCUUAACACUUGCAAGUCGAACGCGUGUAGCAAUACACGAGUGGCGCACGGGUGAGUAACGCGUGGAUAUCUGCCUUUUGGUUCGGAAUAACCCCGGGAAACUGGGGCUAAUACCGGAUGGUUCCUUCGGGAUAAAGAUUUAUCGCCAAAAGAUGAGUCCGCGUACGAUUAGCUAGUUGGUGAGGUAAUGGCUCACCAAGGCGACGAUCGUUAGCUGGUCUGAGAGGACGAUCAGCUACACUGGGACUGAGACACGGCCCAGACUCCUACGGGAGGCAGCAGUGGGGAAUAUUGGACAAUGGGGGCAACCCUGAUCCAGCCAUGCCGCGUGAGUGAUGAAGGCCUUCGGGUUGUAAAGCUCUUUUGGCGGGGACGAUGAUGACGGUACCCGCAGAAUAAGCCCCGGCUAACUUCGUGCCAGCAGCCGCCGUAA